rnacentral:rRNA from 1 species
GAUGAACGCUGGCGGCGUGCCUAAUACAUGCAAGUCGAGCGAACAGACGAGGAGCUUGCUCCUCUGACGUUAGCGGCGGACGGGUGAGUAACACGUGGAUAACCUACCUAUAAGACUGGGAUAACUUCGGGAAACCGGAGCUAAUACCGGAUAAUAUAUUGAACCUCAUGGUUCAAUAGUGAAAGACGGUUUUGCUGUCACUUAUAGAUGGAUCCGCGCCGCAUUAGCUAGUUGGUAAGGUAACGGCUUACCAAGGCGACGAUGCGUAGCCGGCCUGAGAGGGUUAUCGGCCACACUGGAACUGAAACACGGUCCAGACUCCUACGGGAGGCAGCAGUAGGGAAUCUUCAGCAAUGGGCGAAAGCCUGACGGAGCAACGCCGCGUGAGUGAUGAAGGUAUUCGGAUCGUAAAACUCUGUUAUUAGGGAAGAAAAAAUGUGUAAGUAACUAUGCAAGUCUUGACGGUACCUAAUCAGAAAGCCACGGCUAACUACGUG